UACGUAGGGUGCAAGCGUUGUCCGGAAUUAUUGGGCGUAAAGAGCUCGUAGGCGGUUUGUCGCGUCGAGUGUGAAAACCCGGGGCUCAACCCCGGGCCUGCAUUCGAUACGGGCAGACUAGAGUUCGGUAGGGGAGUCUGGAAUUCCUGGUGUAGCGGUGAAAUGCGCAGAUAUCAGGAGGAACACCGGUGGCGAAGGCGGGACUCUGGGCCGAUACUGACGCUGAGGAGCGAAAGCGUGGGGAGCGAACAGG
rnacentral:rRNA from 1 species